UGGGGAAUAUUGGACAAUGGGCGCAAGCCUGAUCCAGCCAUGCCGCGUGAGUGAUGAAGGCCCUAGGGUUGUAAAGCUCUUUCACCGGUGAAGAUAAUGACGGUAACCGGAGAAGAAGCCCCGGCUAACUUCGUGCCAGCAGCCGCAGUAAUACGAAGGGGGCUAGCGUUGUUCGGAUUUACUGGGCGUAAAGCGCACGUAGGCGGACUAUUAAGUCAGGGGUGAAAUCCCGGGGCUCAACCCCGGAACUGCCUUUGAUACUGGUAGUCUUGAGUUCGAGAGAGGUGAGUGGAAUUCCGAGUGUAGAGGUGAAAUUCGUAGAUAUUCGGAGGAACACCAGUGGCGAAGGCGGCUCACUGGCUCGAUACUGACGCUGAGGUGCGAAAGCGUGGGGAGCAAACAGG
rnacentral:rRNA from 1 species